rnacentral:rRNA from 1 species
UACGGGGGGGGCAAGCGUUGUUCGGAAUUACUGGGCGUAAAGGGCUCGUAGGCGGCCAACUAAGUCAUACGUGAAAUCCCUCGGCUUAACCGGGGAACUGCGUCUGAUACUGGAUGGCUUGAGAUUGGGAGAGGGAUGCGGAAUUCCAGGUGUAGCGGUGAAAUGCGUAGAUAUCUGGAGGAACACCGGUGGCGAAGGCGGCAUCCUGGACCAACACUGACGCUGAGGCACGAAAGCGUGGGUAGCAAACAGG